rnacentral:rRNA from 1 species
CGUGUAGGUGGUUGUGUAAGUCUGGCGUGAAAUUUUUCGGCUUAACCGGGAAAGGUCGUCGGAUACUGCAGAACUAGAGGACGGUAGAGGCGUGUGGAAUUCCGGGUGUAGUGGUGAAAUGCGUAGAGAUCCGGAGGAACACCAGUGGCGAAGGCGACACGCUGGGCCGUACCUGACACUGAUGCGCGACAGCAUGGGGAGCAAACAGGAUUAGAAACCCUGGUAGUCCAUGCCGUAAACGAUGCUAGCUGGGUGUUCAGGGGGGGAAACCCCUCGGGGUACCGAAGUCAACACGGUAAGCUAGCCGCCUGGGGAGUACGGUCGCAAGAUUAAA